UACAGAGACCACAAACGUUGUCCGGAAUUAUUGGGCGUAAAGGGUCCGCAGGUGGCCCGUCAAGUCAUGCGUCAAAUCUUUGGGCUCAACCCAAGGGCUGCGUGCGAUACUGGCGAGCUUGAGGCUGGGAGAGGUACACGGAAUGGCCGGUGUAGGGGUAAAAUCCGUUCAUAUCGGCCAGAACACCAAAGGCGAAGGCAGUGUACUGGAACAAGCCUGACACUCAGGGACGAAAGCGUGGGGAGCGAAUGGG
rnacentral:rRNA from 1 species